UCAUCCGAUCAAAUUUCAGAACCGUAGGAACGUUCCCUGCGCCGUGAGCUUCAAUCUGAACCGAACAGAUCCAAGUUCUGUAACCGACUUAGUUGAAGAACGUAAGAAAGAUCGUGGAGGGUAGAAAGCCAUAGUUGGGCAAGUCCAAGUUAUACUGUUAGACGAACACUACUAUCCAAAUGGAAGUGAGCUGCUGGAAGAUGC